UUAGUACUCCCUCCGGUCAUAAUUACUUGUCGAAAUAUUACAUGUAUCUAGACAUUUUUUACACAUAGAUACAUCCAUAUUUGGGCAAAUUUGAGACAAGUAAUAUCGAUCGGAGGGAGUAGUAA
rfam:Brachypodium distachyon strain Bd21 chromosome 5, whole genome shotgun sequence.